GUUCACCCCUCCCAGGUCCAGCGUGGGGCUCCCUCCCCUGGGUCGUGUCUGCCACCUGGAGAUGCAGUCUGUGCAGACUGCUCUGGCCAGAUGGGGUGCAGAACUUGAAGCCUCAGAGGCAGACACUAGAGUUACAGGAAUCUAGACACCCCUCCCACCCCCGGAAUUAAAUCUCCCGGGGAGGGGGGCGGAGCGUCUGUCAUGUGACACGGGAGAGGACGAAGCCAACGGGAGUCCACGCAAGGAGCGCGCCCUGGGCAGCGGAGCUCGCGGGGUGGAGACGGGCGGGAGCGGCACCGAGGGCACACCCGCCGGGCCCUCCCCACGCUCACGGCCCCAGGAUGUGCCAGGCUCGCUGCUCGGGUUCACCCAGGACAAAUCUGCUCUUGGGACUCGGCUUCGGGAGGAGCCCACGCACCGCGGGGCCCUGGCCGCUCGGCCGCCGGGACCGUAGAACAGGGUCAGUGGGCUUCCACUCAAGGCCAGGAUUUCGGCAGGAAACCCCGCGCGACAGAUGUCGUUAUCAAAAGUCCUUACUGGACGAGGACUCCUAGCACGGAGGCUGACGGCUCAUUUAUCUAGAAAGCUUGAGCCAAACAAAGGUUUCCGGCGGUCUUACUGGUGUUAACGUGGGGUGUUUAUCAUGAAGAAAGUACUGUACGGCUCCGCGAGGGAAGGCCCUGCAGGAGGUUCCGGGCCGCCAAACUCUGGGCAGGUCCACGAUCCCCGCCGCUGCCCUUUUUUCAACUGCCUGUAGCACUGGAAGCUCGCUGCCAGCUUGGGAGAUCCCUUCCGGGUCGAAGCGCGGAGGGGGCGGAGCGCUCAGAGGGCCCGCCCUCCGGCUGAUGGGCGGGGCCUCUGUGGUACGACGUCGUGCGUGGCGCCGCCAUCUUGGAGCCGGGCGAUGGCGUCCUCAGGGCGGAAGUGUGGCGUGGAGGGAGCCGGUGUUGUCACGUCUGUGACUCUCAGGUGUUCCCUUGAUCUGGCUUCCCAGGCUCCUGUCAAGUUAUGAAGAAUUGUGUGAGUGUGAAGACCAGCGGGGAGAUGGAGGCCACUUGAUGAAGAGCCUUGAGCCCACCCCUUAAAGGAACAAGGCGCGUUUCUCCCGAGGCUCUGACAGCUGGCUCCUUCAGCUUCAGCCCCGGUUAUUGAGAUGCAAAUGUGUGCCCGCGGGGAGCGCAGCUGCUGGCUGGCGCUGAGGCCCUCGCCCCAGGUGCAGCCCUACCGAGCCAGCGCCAGCGGGGGCAGUGACGCAGAUGACCCUCCCAGGACAAAUGGAACCGUGGACCCCGUGCAGGAGGAAAGGCAGGUCAACAGUGUAUCCAGCACUGGGGGGCCAGGAUGAGCCCCCCGCCAACCCGUGUGUGACCAGGAGCAGCCUGGAGUCCAGCAGAGGCAGGAGAGGAGGCCCUGGGAGAGGUGAGCACCACGAGCUACCAGUGCAAAGGCCCUGGGGCCCAACACGGCUGGUGGGCAUGUGGGAUGGAGAGGAUGCAGGGGAGUGGGUGGAGGUGAUAGGCAGGGACCCCAGGUUCAUGCUCAGUGAGGUGGGGGCCCUGGGAGGGCUCUGA